AGGGUCUGUGUCUGACUUUGGCACAAGGUGAAUGCUGUACCCUCUCUAUAAUGAGUGAAGCAAGAAAUAGAAGGUGAACUGGAAGAUUGUGUAUAUCAGGGUCUGUGUCUGACUUUGGCACAAGGUGAAUGCUGUACCCUCUCUAUAAUGAGUUAAGCAAGAAAUAGAAGGUGAACUGGAAGAUUGUGUAUAUCAGGGUCUGUGUCUGACUUUGGCACAAGGUGAAUGCUGUACCCUCUCUAUAAUGAGUUAAGCAAGAAAUAGAAGGUGAACUGGAAGAUUGUGUAUAUCAGGGUCUGUGUCUGACUUUGGCACAAGGUGAAUGCUGUACCCUCUCUAUAAUGAGUUAAGCAAGAAAUAG